GGAGAGAUGGCCGAGUGGUCGAGGCGCUCCCCUGCUAAGGGAGUAUGCGGGCAAAACCUGCAUCGAGGGUUCGAAUCCUCUCUCUCCGCCA
rnacentral:tRNA from 1 species